UUUUCAGUAACUUUUUAUAAUAUUCAACACAAAACUGAAGUAUCUGGUCAAUGCGGACUAAUCUCUGCGACCAACCAAUUUCGCUGUAGCGAUUAAAUAUAAAAAAAAAAAAAAUAAUAUUGCAAGCUAUUUUGGACUCUCAGCACUGAACUUAGUAUUUUAUCAGAUGGACCAAUCCAUUUUCUACACGUUUGGUUCAUUUCAACAUCUCUUUUUAUUGUAUUGUUUAUAAAAAGAAAGUUUAAACAAAGAAGGCCUAUUUGAAUAAUAAAAACUCCUUCGCAGAUUGACAUGAGUCCGAUAUAAUUUUAGACUUAUGUAUACAGAUUGUUAAACGAAAUACCUUACCAUUAAGGCGUAGGAAAAUACAGGAUUUAAGUACCAAUGUAGUCUGCAAGACAUUUAGCAUGAGAAGAAAUGCUAAAUCGGUCAUGUCUCCCAGCUAAGAGAUCGAAAACAAUGCAAACAAAAGCAGAUGCGUACUUCCAACACAUCUUUCACGAUGAUCCCAUCAAACAAAUGACUAUCACUAAAUUUUGCGAUGCGCCUUCCCGCCAUUUUGAUGCUUAUAUACAAAAAAUCCAAAAACUAAUUAAAACUAUAAUCCACACAAACUUUGCAAUUAGCCAUAGCGCAUUAGAAUGGCGGAGCAAGUGACGCAUGUAUCUGUAAGAUCUGUAUAAAUCGGAGAACGACAGAAACAUUUACAAAUCUCUUGUGCUAGGCUAAACGUUCUGAUAGUCUGGGUACCACCAGUCCACAUCGGUCGACACCCUCUACUCACCGACCCACGCAUCUAUCAGGGCCUGGCCCACCUUCUGGACCAUAUGAUCUUCAUGGGCAGCAUUAACUGGGAUAACAUGACAUCGCUUAAGGAAAACGUUUCUACGCAUACCUAGAGCGUCGAAACUGGGCAUGUCAUCUCGACGCUGGCAUAGACGAGACCAGAUAAUCUACAUUCUAUCCACUCCAUGCAAAUCGAUGUGCUGACCGACACCUUUGCCUAUUUAAAGCUCUUCUCAAACUGUUCCAUCAGUUGUGCGUCAGUUGUCGAAGAGCAGCAGUAGAGUAAGGCCGCGAAAUUUCGUAUCCCGGAUCGUCUCUAUUGCCAUGAUCCCGAUGGACUGGUCUUCAGACGCAAAUACUAUCCCUAUAGGAUAUACUCACCGCCAGGGAGCUCACAUACGAGAUUGACGAGAAGUCCCUUCCUGAAUUGAUCAGACACCACAAUAGUUUUAAAUUGAAUCUAAUGAUUACCUCGCAAUAGCCUUUCGAGGGCAUGCCCUUCGUCAAGCGGAAUUAGUGGUUCGGCACUGAAUGCGCCUUUUCACCUUUUCCAUGCCAUGGAUGAAUUACAUAUUUCUUCCCAAAGCCAAUCUCUUUGUGGCCCACGACUUAAACCUGAUCAGGAAUGAGCAGAGUAAGCCCAAGCUGCUUAGAACGGACACCAGCGAGCUGUGGUUCCGACACGAUGACAACUUCAACAAGCCCCAGGCCUGCUGCGGCAACAUCUGGCCAAAUGCCUUCAGAUCCUCCAGAGUCUCUGGGAAAUUACACGGAGGUGUCGCAGAUUGGCGCAGAUCGAGAACUACUUUCAAAAAGGAGAGAAAACAAAGACAACUUUGACUAAAUCAUAUCCGGGUACUAAAUCUUCGGUCGUAAUUAAAGCGGAUAUAUGUAAUAGUUUCCUGAACGACACGGAAGGCUCCAAUUUGCGCAAGCUAUCGGUUCAGAUCAUUGAGCGACGGCCAGAGGUACAAUUCUUAGACCAGAACCAGGAUCCCAAUUGAAAUGACUUCAAUAUAGUAUUCCUGUCAGAAGACAGGGACGGAGAUAUUGUCGAUAUUGCCAAUUUUAAUUUUUAUACAGCCUGCGCGCGAAUUACUAAUAUAAAUAUUAAAAAUAAACACACAUUUAUGUAUAAAA